rnacentral:misc_RNA from 1 species
UCCAGCUUAUCGCUGGCGGUCUCCUGCGAGUUCCCAACUGAAUGAUGGCAACACAGGACGAGGGUUGCGCUCGUUGCGGGACUUAACCCAACAUCUCACGACACGAGCUGACGACAGCCAUGCAGCACCUCGACUGGACCCCCUUGCGGAGUAACCGUGUUUCCACGAUCGUUGACCAGCCGUUCGAGCCCAGGUAAGGUUCUUCGCGUUGCGUCGAAUUGAACCACAUGCUCCACCGCUUGUGCGGGCCCCCGUCAAUUCCUUUGAGUUUCAGCCUUGCGACUGUACUCCCCAGGCGGCAUAUUUAACGCGUUAGCUCCGGCACAGAUCAACUGAAUGACCUACACCAAAUAUGCAUCGUUUAGGGCGUGGACUAC